AGGAACUAGAACCUCAGGUUGGUGAACAGUUGCUCCAGCUUUGGGAACGCCUUCCGCUGGGAGAAAAAGCCACAACUGAUUGACACUCAGAACUCUUAGCAGCAAAAAAAAUCAUGCCUGUUUAUAACCACUGAAUGCACUGACUUCCAAAAACAGAGAUGGGUUGUGUGUUAUACUUGGGCUUUUCUGCUUUAGAGUGUUGCUUCAGAACCACCAUCUUCACAAACAAGAAAAAAGGAUCAUUUAAAUUUAUAUACUGAUCAUAAGGAAUGAUUAUGUAAUGUUUGUAAUGAAUACAAUAGUAGUAGUUUCAUUA